rnacentral:misc_RNA from 1 species
UCCGGUUUGACACCGGCAGUCUCCUAUGAGUCCCCGACAUUACUCGCUGGCAACAUAGGACAGGGGUUGCGCUCGUUAUAGGACUUAACCUGACACCUCACGGCACGAGCUGACGACAACCAUGCAGCACCUUGUAACUUGCCCGAAGGAAAAGCUGUUUCCAGCCCUGUCAAGCUACAUUUAAGCCCUGGUAAGGUUCCUCGCGUAUCAUCGAAUUAAACCACAUGCUCCACCGCUUGUGCGGGCCCCGUCAAUUCCUUUGAGUUUUAGCCUUGCGGCCGUAGUCCCCAGGCGGGGUGCUUAACGCGUUAGCUACGGCACGGAAAACAUGAAUGCUCCCCACACCUAGCGCCCAACGUUUACGGCGUGGACUAC